GGGUAAUUGGUCUAAUGGUAAGAUGGGCGAUUAUGUAAUUGUAGGAUAAAGGUUCGAAUCCUUUAUUACCCA
rnacentral:tRNA from 1 species